UACAAGCAAUCACUCCAUCUCUUCCUCUUUCGAAGGUAAUUUUCCUGGGUUUGUAUUGUUCCUCCAUCUCAAUACAUUUUUUUCCUGAUUGAAUGUUAAAUUUUUCAUGUGCUUUCUUCUUCUCUGGAUUCAAUUUCUCUAUUUUUAGAAGACUUUUUCCAUGCCUUUGUAUUGUUCCUAAUCUAAUUCUUUUGCAGGGGUUAAUAUUUGGAGAAGUUUUGGCAAAUGAAUUUCAUAUUUCACUACUUCUCUAUGCUAUGGCACUUUACGCACUCAAGAUCUGCUUCAGAAACUCUUCUUUUGAGUCGAGGGUCUAUAGGAAAUCAUCUCUAAACCCCCACAAAGGUAGGGAUAAGGUUUGCAUCCUAACCUCCCAUAGCUCACUUGUGGAAUAACAAUGGAUAUGUUGUUGUAUUUAUCAUAAUUCUUCAUGAGUAGACUGCGGUCAUUUUAUGUAGAAAAAUGUAACAAUAUGCAUUUUUAAAACUAAUUGUGAUUAUCCUCUUUCUUCAUGUUUAUACUUGGCAAAAUGUUGUACCUUGAAGGUUGUUUCUUUGUGUUCAAACAUUAGAUCAUUUAAAUUGUCUGAUGUACCAACACAACGUUAACAAGUUGUACCAAAAGCUAUCUAAUUUGUAUAGUAACUAUGACCAACACAGCAACAAAUAGUUGUACAAUAAGCAACAUAAAGUGUACAGUCAAGUUGUUUCCCAUUUAACACGUGUAAAUACACUAACUUUUCCCUCAGACAACCUGUAUCCCUCAACAAAAUAAACAUACAUCUCAUUCAAAGAACAAACUUGAUCUCACUGCUUUCAAGCUUUAGGUUUCAAUGGUCUAUGAAUUCUCUUUCUCCUAUUCAAUUCUAUUUCAAUUUCAAGUGUCUGUACUCAUUAAUUUUGGUAUGUUUUUAGUUAAAUUUAUUUAGAGAUUUUUGGAUUUCAAAGGUUUGCUCUGAAUUUUGUUUUUCCAGUUCCCAAGUUAUUGUUCUCUUCAUUUCUUUCAGUUUCAGCCUAACAUUGAUGAAUAUAGGAAUCACAAUUUCGGUAUGUGUAUCUUAGUUUCUUAUUCUUUUGGAUACAAUUUCUAGCUAAAAUUAAUUUCUAUAUGCAUGUUUAACUAACUACCUGAUUUGCACAUGCAUUGUGUUUCUUUGACGAAUGUUGUCCCGAUAAUCAAUUAAUUUGUGCGAAGUUAGACGUCUUACAAAAAUCUAAAACAUCCAAGAUCACUUAAAUUUGAAGUGGAUUGUGCAUCCAAGUUGUUUGAUUAUAUGCAUCACUUAACUUAUUUGAAGUUUCCUGUUGCCAUUCUCUAUUUUUGGGCUGUAGCAGGAUAGUCUUAUCAUCAACUGAUGUACCAGAAAAUAUUCAUUAGAUAGAGAAGAUCAUCAAGAUUUUGCAGGCGCUGCCGAACUUAUUUCAAUUUCAAGAGCUUAUAUCACAAUAAUGUCACAAAAUUAUUAUUUUAUAACACUAAAGUAAUCAACUGUGUCCACCAAAGUACAGUAAAAUCAACCCAACAUUUCAGACUCAUGAUCUGAUUUGAUUGCAAUAUGUAUAAAGAGUUGAACUGCUGCAACCUUUGGUGGUAAGUGAACGAUAUCAUAUAUCAAUAUUUUUAGCUAUGCAAGAAGGAACAAGCCAAUGGACUUGAUUUUUUUUUACCUUCUAAGCACCACAGUGCAAUUCCUUGCUUGAACUCUUGAUGUUGUGCUUGGUUUGUCAGAGGAGGAGCUCUUUGUUUUGAUGAGAGUUUUUAGGAAUCUUGCACUGUUUACUAUACUCACUUAGUUCUCCAUCUGCAAGGUAUAUGUUAGUUUCUAUUUUGGGUUUUAAUUAAUUUGUCUAUUCUUUGGAGUUGUUUAUUGUGGAUUUCUGAUUAUCCUAUAUGCAUGCAAGUGAUUUUAUUGUGAUUUGUGCAUACAUCCUUGAAGAUACAUAGGUGCAAUGGAGUUUAGUUAUAUCAUGUUGUUCUUAGAUGAUAUCAUUGAAGUGGUGUGACACUAAUUCUUGGAUGAUACUGAUUAAAGUGGUGUCGCAGUGGCGAUAGGAAUAAAAUUCAAAUUUGUAAUUUCUGACACUCACCUUAUUUUAAGCUUUCAUCUUCUAACGCGUGAACUAUAACAAUAGACACGUGUAGUGCCUUUUUUGACAACUAUUCUUUCAAUGUCAACACGAAAAUUGACUUCAACGUAACACUGCUCUUCUCUAGAGGCAAUUAUGAAGUACUGCUACAAAUAGGAAGCUGAUGAAUACCAAAUAUAUUCAGGCACACUUGGAGAAACUGAACAAGUAUGCUUGUGUCAUCCAUGUGUUAACUCUCACACAUGUAUCAAAUUUGAAUGCCAUCCCUCAGAUUUUGGGGGACCAUUUCUUGAAUAAGCUUUAGCUAUAUAAAAAAAAUGUAUUUCAAUAAUUAUGUGUUUCUCUGAAAUCUUAUUUAUACCAACAUUCAUGCCAUCAGUUAUAAUUAUAAUAAGAGGUGCUGUAAGAAUUAGUUUUUAA